CCCGCCUCCCCGUCUCCUCCCGCGGGCGAACGCGCGGGGCCGCGGGGAAGGCGGCAGAGGAGCGGUGGGAGCCUACAGCGGGUCUGAGGCGAGGGGAAAAGGGAAACAGGACGCAGCAACAAAGAGCGGAAUGCUCGGGAUCUGACAUGGACGUAGGACGCAACUGCACCUUGUGCAGCUGCCCGGCAGAGGUAAUCCUCUGUUUACAGUCUGUGGCUGAUGCAUCAGCGGGCUGGUGGCAUCCCCAAAGAACGCUGAAAGCAGCAGAGACUCAGCAAUGGCAAAUGGGAAGAAAUUACAAAGCUAUACCAAGAGAAACUGGAGCUUAGCAGCCACUCUCGACCCUGAACAACACCUUACUGAAGAGGAUCUCCCAGCCCUGACAAGAAGACAGAUAACAAAUUCAGAAGCCAAAGCUGAGUUCACCCACCUUACUGCAGCUGUUCUCCACUCAAGCCCUUUCCUCCCAUACUUUUACCCAGACAAAACUCUGCUUUCUCAGCUCUCCAAUAUGAGUCUUCACGCAGCCAGGCAUAGCAGUGAGAGGCAAGGACAAAGUCUGGUGUGCAAGGGGGUGUACAGCUAUGUAACUCUUGAGUCUGUUCUUUAAAUCAUCUUUCCUCUUGUUCCAGUCACAGCAACAUUCCAGCACCUACAGCAAAAGACACAGGGUCUGGCCUCCAGGGAACAGACUCAUUCCACAGUUCUGAUUCCUUCCUUAAUUGACCCUGGACACCUAAAAAUGAAUGGCUUCAUCCUAAAAAAAGCUAAUGUGUCAGCAUGCAAGUAAAAUGUAUAUUUACACUAAGGCCAAAUUAAUGUCAUUUUGGGACCUGAAUUUAGGUCCCAAACAGAACAUUUCAGUGCCUGACUCUGCAACAGGAAUUCUCUUUAAUACAUAUCUGUAUAUAAAUUCUGGAAUGGGGCUGGGGGUGGGGGAAAAUGUCUCUAAAACAAAUGGCUUCCCACCCCCAACAUGAGUCCCUGAAUACAUUAUUAUCAGAGGACUCACUGAGAGAUCUGAAGACCUAAUAUACAGGCUUUGGCCUCACAAGCUGAGAAGGAAACUUUUCAAGGGACAAUAAAACACUCCCUUUACUGUGAUUGUCACUAGUCUUCUGUGGCAACAGAAGAGACACAGAAACACAAAGAGGGGUGAUGUGUGGUGAUGGGGAAAGACAUUUCUCCCCGUUCAUUUUCCACUCCUGUAAGUAAUGUGUUCCUCAAGACCAGGAUUAAUCCUCUCACUGUUUUAUCCCUCCUGCUGGUCCCAGUUCCCCUCUGCACCAUUAUUCUCCAUUAACUGCCUAAGAUUUCUGUAUCUUCAUGCACCUCUCUUCCUCUCCAUUUCAGUCAGGCUAAUUCACCUUCCAUCAUAUCAGAGAAGGAUGCAUUAAAAGAAAAAGAAAAAGUAACCCACAAAAACAAUCUCCCUCAACUUCGCAGAAUUGCCAGGGACCAGAGCAGCCCCUGGCUUCCAAAAAAAGCAAUUGCAAAGCCCCAAACAGCAUGCUAAAUACCGUGUGGUUUAAGCAGCCAUCUCUUAGGAACCAUCUGCUUAGCAUGUGCAAAUAGUGACUCUGGAGAUUAUUAUGAUUUACCGAAUUUUGGAAGAAUUUUGCAGGAACAGCAAGAGAAGGCUCUAAGUACUACUGUGACAUAAGUAUCACAGAAUAAUGAAACAUUGAUUUUAGUUUUAGGAAUAGAAUUCAUCUCCCAUGAACCAAAAUGUAAGCUUGCAGCAGCCCUGAGGGAAAAAAAAUUACUCUUAAUGAUUUCCUCAAAUGUACAGUAAAUUUCAUUGAAAUAUAGAACAGUCUUUCCUUGUAUGAUAUUCCCAUGCAGUCAAAAUAAAGUGUGUGCUUUCAGGUGCAAAGCCAAACUCAAUUAGUAUUAUACACAAACCAGAAUAUACCCUGAAUGCUGAUCAGAGGCAGGCUGAUGAUUCAUAUUGCCAUGGUCUGCACAUUCGGAUUUGCAAGGAAAGCCAGUGUACAGCUUGAUAAGGGGUUUUGAUCCAAAAAUAGGCACAGAUGUGAUUUUAAACAUUUGCCUUAGAAAAUUAGUUUUAGACACUCUUCUUUAAUUGUGUGUCAUCUAAUGCUGAUGGGCACUUACCCAGGUAGAACACCAGCUCCUCAAUUAGAAUGUAAAGCAAUAUGUAACAUUUACAGUAGUGUAAUUCUAUAUUCAUGAGCAGAAAGAACUGCUUGGAAUGCAGCUUUCAUAGAAAGCAAGCCAAAAAACCCUAUAAAGAUCAAACAUGCAUCAUACAGGAGGAUAAUUCUGCUUCUCUUUUUAUCCCAGAAACAUCAGGAACAAUUGGAAAAUCAAGCCAGUCUUAUGAAAAGUAUGUAAGAGACAAAGGAAUACGAUGUUUUCUUAUUUUCAAUACACAUCUGCUUAAUUAUCUGCUGGUUUUGAACUGAAAAUGCAUGCCUUAAGAAUAACUGACCUCUCUCAAAAACUGUAUGCAUUUCACCUGCUCAUUAAAGGUACACCUGUGACUUACUGAUACAGCACUGUACAACCCAUGCUUUGUCAUGAGAGACUUUUAGUGCUUAAAAAUAAAAACAGACAGACUGUUGUCUUACCCUAAAUACAGUACUCUUAGAAACCUU